UGGAACGAUGGCAGAGAAGCAACAUGCACAACGUAAGGAAAAUUACAGGACAGUGCUGAACUGAGAUCACGAGCACUUGGGAGGACAGAGUAAGAGAGACAGCCGAAGAAGCCAUCUUCGUUCCAGUUGCCACCUCCAAGGAAAUCAAGACAACAGCUAUUACAUGCUGCAAACAGGGUACUUACGUGUAAGAGCGUUUCAGAGUUCCACGGCUCCGAGUUUCGCCCAAAACCGGAUGCAAAACAAAACUCAGCUAGCCAGUACUGACGUUUACGUUAUCAAACCAGAAGAAUAAAGGCUGUUACUUGUAGUUUCCAGGUAAUUUCAGUGUUGCCAGAUAAUCUUUCUCGUAAACUGAGAGGUCAAGGAUUCCUUUGCUAACUACACAAACGAGGCUGAACAGUGUAUGUGUUGGAAUAUUAUUCUUAGUGUGGGGUGGGAAAUGGGUAUAAAUGUGUAUUCUUAAGCAUACUGGAGUACCGGAAACUGUUGUAUUUUAACAGGUCACCAAUGAAUACUGUUAAAAGAAUCUUCCUCCUCAGUCAAUGCCAGAGUUCGUUACUGGGUCCCUGGAAGCCUGUACGUGUAUUACAGUCAUGGAUUGAUUAGGCCCUGUACACAGAUCUCUGAAUCACGCUGAGAUAACUAUUACAUAAGUUGGUUUUCAAUGGAAAAAAAAAAUCACCAGAAAUCUGUCAUGGUUCUUCAGCUAACAAAAAACAAAACAAAAACAAACAAAACACCGACACACAAACAAACAAAAACCCCCACACAAAAACCCCACCCCUAAAAACCAAAAAACUCAAAUCCAAAACCCCUCUCCAAAACAAAUCUCACAAAAAACCCAACCAGCCAAACAAAACAAAACAAAAAUGGAUGGAAGGCACUACGGCAAAGUCUCAUUAGUUACCGAUGGUUGCUGAAGAGCUUUUAUGAUAAGAAAUGAGACCAAGGAAAGAGUCAUAACAAAAACAAAGAGCUGUUUGGGAAAAUAUUUCUCAUGAAUGCAUGAAAUUCAGUAUAAUGAGCAAAGAGACAAAUACAAAACAUUGACAACUUCCCAUUACAUGCAAGAGAUGAAAACGCAAAUGUCUCUACAGACAGCAACAAAGAACAUUUUAUCACAGUCUGCUUUUGGAUAUGAAUGGCCACAAAAUGAUUGCAUAAGGGACUCCACAAUUUACACCACUGAUGGCAUAACUGACUUACUAAUAGGAUAAAAGGAAUCUGCUUUCACACAUCCAAAUAACAAGCAAAACCUUCAACAAAAUUACUACCUUUCUAACUGCAUCUGUUUCCUACUGGUGACCAACACAGCAACAGGUCUGUUACUUGAGUAAUUUGUUCAUGCUUGGUUGAGCGGAAGACGCAAACAGGAGAGGGAAAAUGCAGAGAUCUGGUAAAUUCCAGUUACUGCUUAGCAUCGAACAUCGCUGCUCCAAUUCUGAUUCCACAUCUUCAGGUUUUACAAAAGGCUGUCCAAGAAUCUUUCACAGAAACAACACAUGGAACAUAACUUUAGAUGUGUUAGCAGAUAAAUUAGCCCAUAUUCACAGGACAGCUUCAAGGGUAUGAGGCAGCAAAAGCCUGUGACUGGACUUUGCACCUAACAACCAAACUGAGAAGCUGCUAGAAUGCCACAUGUCAGUGAACAGAACUGCUGCUGCCAUCACAAACUCCAAUGUCAGAAACCACAGAACUUUUACCACCCCAUCCUGGUCUCCAGUGGAGAGGGCAUCUCUGGACCUGCUGGGAAGAUAGAGACGGGAAGCACAGUACAAGAGACGUUUUUUAUGACAAGACAAAUCCUCUACCCAAACUACCUUGAAGAAUCAACAAUUAGCAGGCAGCUUGGUGCUCCCAGCACAUACUUGGGAUGCCAGGCUAAACCACAUAAGCCUUCUGGCCAAGCACAGCAGGUCAAAAUUAGCAGGCAGCCUACACUGCCAGGGGCAGAGGCUGAGACAACCUCAAGGCAGGAAGAUCAGUGUACAGGUAUGAAAAAAACUGCCCAGGCUGUUACAGUAAAUGACUUUUAUUUUUUAAAAAAUGAAAUAACCGUGAACAUAUUAACAGGCCUGCAAGUGGCACUACAGUACAGCUGGAGAUAAGGUCAAUACAUUUCCCCAUGUACCUGGACAAUGAAAUCCAUUGCAUCAAUGCUGACAUUAGUAAAUUCUGAAUACAGUUCUAUCAAGCAGGAACAUUUUACUUAAAUAGUUCUGGACAAAGUUGACACCAAAAGUUAACUUUUCCUUCACUUUGGAAAGGAUAUAUGUUUUAUAGAUGUUUUCAGGUAGCACUGGUAUUGGGUGAAUAUUGCCUGCAGUCACCAGUGCAGGGAGAGAUGUACAACAUCUCCUUGUGAGAACAGAGUUUAUACUCCUUUUUACUUUUCAUUCUGAGGAAGCAGGGUGGCGUAGAGAGAGGGGGGACAAUAGGUGAGGUAAUAUGGGCAAGGGAGGUGGGAUGUCAAUUUCUAUUCAAUUCUCCUUUGGCUGUUUUUGUGCUAUUUUGGACUGCUUUUUAAAAAUCACUUCUUGAUUUUAUUGAAAGGAAGACUAAAUGUAAUACACCUUUCCUUGAAAAUCCAGGAACAAUUGUGGUACUUCAAAAAUACUAAAAAUAUCUACUUUCAUGAAAUAUUAACUGUUUCACUACAAACCUAUUUUUUCACUAAAUACACAAUUCUCUUAUUUCUGGAGUCUCCCUGGGGGAAAAAAAGUGGGUUCUCCCUUUAGUUCUGCAACUCUACAGAGUACAGAGAAACAGCUAGAAGAAUGGGAGUGCAGAGAAUAGCUUUAUCCUUUUCCUUGGCCAGUAUCUCACACAGGGAGUUUGUUUGAAUUUCUGCAGUUGGGCUACUGUUGGUCACAUUCUUUCAGCAGUUAUCAACCAAGUCUGCAGUAGGACAACCCACCUCCAGCACAUUCUGUCUAACUUUGUGGAGACUAAGUAGGCAUGAGGGAAAAAAAACAUCCACACUCUUUCUACCAUUUUUGAUCAUAGUAUGCAGGAACACCAAGUGGCUUCCAUGUUCUCUCAAUUUGCGAAGGCCACAGGAAAGAGAUAUGGCACCUUUUAGAAUCUGGAAUUCUGCAUUUAAGAGUGCGACCUUCCAUUAGACCUUCGGUGUUGAGGCAGCGUAGAAAACAGUGGCUGAAGAGUGUAAUACUGACCACACCAGCUCCCAGUGAGAAGCUUUUGCUCCUGCAGAGGCAGUCGUGUGCAGUCCCUGUAUAUACCAUGAGCAAUAGGCCUACUUGACAGGGCAUUUGGAAUUAGCAAUUCCUACGAUCUAGCUAGUUUAGAUUCAUGAGCUUUCAGUGUGCCAACAGCAUCUUUCACUGCAUGGUAGAUAAUGUUCUUCACCUGCAACAGGAAAAAAGAAAAAUCAACUUCUACAGACUAACAAGGAGAGUCUUACAUAGCCACGCAAUCAGCUUUGACAGCUGAAUUUGUAAUAGUUGGUAAGUAUACAUGAAAUAUAUACUAUUUUGCUUCAGAAUACCAACAGCACAAAUUUAAACUGUCACAGAUGACAAGUAUCUUAGACACUUGCACUGAUUUAUUAACUCAUUUUCUGGUCACCCAGCAACAUAUAUUUACUUGUGUUGUUUUAAGAUAAUUCCUUCUCUUGUGAGAGCUAGGAGGAAGUGCAGUACGAAGUUAUACAUAUAUAUAUAUACAUACAUAUAUAUAGAUAUAUUAGUUUAUUUUGAAGAAGUCCUUGUGAUCAAAGUCACUUAGAGACUCACAUGAAUCAAAUCUAAAAGCUGCUAGAAAAUUAUAUGGUUUAAUCCUAUGAAAACUAAUAUGACACAACAAAUCAUCUUGUUGUCUUUGCAUGGCAGCUAGAAAUACUUCAAAUUUGUGAAUCUUGCAGAAAGACAAGCCCAUGAUGAGAAAUCCACUAGUACUCACUGCUAUCUUUUUCACAGUUACCUAUUUAAGAAUCAAAGUUCUGUCUAGUUUCUGAUUUUUUUCUGAUCUAAGUUUAUUUGAAUUCUGUUUCCAGGUGCUGAACAGAACAGUUUCGCCUCCUAAGUGAGUAGCUCAAUUGCACUUGCUCAACUAACUGGCAACCACCAUCAUCUUUUCCUGAUGUACAUGUGACCUCAUUUUUGGUAUAAUUUAUGCAGCUGUUAUUGUCUCUGUGUAUUUUAAUAUAUGAAAAUAUAGACAGAGGUUUAUAUAAAAAUA